GAUGAACGCUGGCGGCGUGCCUAAUACAUGCAAGUCGAGCGAACGGACGAGAAGCUUGCUUCUCUGAUGUUAGCGGCGGACGGGUGAGUAACACGUGGAUAACCUACCUAUAAGACUGGGAUAACUUCGGGAAACCGGAGCUAAUACCGGAUAAUAUUUUGAACCGCAUGGUUCAAAAGUGAAAGACGGUCCUGCUGUCACUUAUAGAUGGAUCCGCGCUGCAUUAGCUAGUUGGUAAGGUAACGGCUUACCAAGGCAACGAUGCAUAGCCGACCUGAGAGGGUGAUCGGCCACACUGGAACCGAGACACGGUCCAGACUCCUACGGGAGGCAGCAGUAGGGAAUCUUCCGCAAUGGGCGAAAGCCUGACGGAGCAACGCCGCGUGAGUGAUGAAGGUCUUCGGAUCGUAAAACUCUGUUAUUAGGGAAGAACAUAUGUGUAAGUAACUGUGCACAUCUUGACGGUACCUAAUCAGAAAGCCACGGCUAACUACGUG
rnacentral:rRNA from 1 species